CAUUUAUAAGCAGAAAAAGUUAAAAAAUAGAAGUAUUCAUUGAAUUUGCAGCAUAGUCAUUCACAAAUUUGAAUUUGAAUGUCAAAUAGAGAAUAUAUAUUCUAUAAUAUGGAUUUGUUAAAUAAAAAAAAGGAUUAAAAAAAAAAUUGAAUACCUUCUUUAUUUGUGUUUGAAUAUCUGCAUUAUAGAUACAUCAUAGUUGUUUGCUUCUUUGCUACAAUCAACCUUUAUCAAGCAAGCAUGCCAGCCAUGAACAUCCUGUCAUCUAAGAUAAAACUGCCUAAUGUGUUUUGAAUAUAGUAUAGUGUAAUAUGCAGCAGAAUUGUUUUAUCUUUCUAGCAGGUCAAUAACCUUGAAGAGAUUCCAUAAUUGGUUUAAUAUAAUGCAGUUCAAUGAUGCUCUGUAUUAGGGAAUUUGCUGUAGUAAUAACAAGGGUUAAUAAACAGCAAUUUUCAAAGAAAUGGAACAAAUAAAGAAUUUUAAUUCCUAAAUGGGAAGUUGCACAAAAGGAAUUAUCAAUGAAGGCGAUAUAAACAUCUUGAAUCAAACUGAACAGAGAAAUGGAGGGUAACAAUCAAGGUAUAUAUUUAUUUUUAUACUAAGUACUCGAAGCAUGCAAUGAAUACACAAAAGAUGUAGUGGCCUCACAAUGAUAUUAAGAGAGAAGAAGGAUUUUAUAUGUUAUAGAUACACAAGUGUAUGAGUACCUAAGAAAUUCUCUUAAUUAGCCAGGAAGUUUGUUAGAAGUAGUCAACAGUUUCAGUUGUCUAAUUACUUGAUAUGUUAUACAUUGUGUUGUGAAAGCAUAAUAAUAAAAUAAGUAGGGGGUACUUCAGGAAGCUAUUACCUUUAUUGAUAUUUGAUCUCCAAAGAGCAGACUAUAUAUGAUGUGUGUGCUUAAAGUAUGACACUGCAUGACAGCAAAACUAGGGCUGGGCAAGGAAUUUAGAGGGUAUGUGAAGGCUAGAAAGAAAUGAAGCAAAUAUGCACCACAGGCUAUGUUAUAUCUGCAAUGACUGAUUGCAGAUGAGUUGAGGAAAAAACCUAGCUAUCAGAAUUUUCACACCACAGAGUGCGAAAGGAAAGCCUGCACUAGUAUGUAAAUGUGAUGCAUUAAAGAAGAAACAGAUGAAGGAGGGCCAAACAAUGCAGGUAGAGGGAGGACUGGGAAAGGAGGACUCAAAAAUGUGUACAGAAUUGUUGGGUACUGAUCUUGGGAUGUUGAGACUCACAAUAAAGUUAAAGGGUGUUGACAAGUGGCAUGAUGCUUUGAUGAAAUUGUCACUUCUAAUCAAUGGCAGCAUGAUAAAGGAAGCAUAAAGAGGACAAUGAUAACUGCUAGUAUUAAAACAUUUUGAUUUAUCAAACAUAUGGGUUUGAGCCCUUCAAUCUCUGUUCUUUUUCAGAUGCUGCAUGACCACUCACAUGCAUAUAAAUAUACCAAAUGUGACACUUGUAAAAGAAUAAAACAAACUUAUUAAAAUGUAAUUUCUUGUAGUUUAAUAAAAGUAAUCAACAAGAUGAGGAAAUAAGUGUCAAACCAAGUCAUGGAUAAAAAAUAAUCACUUAAAACCCUUCAAGGUGGUGCUGCAGCUUGUCUGAAGUCCAGUAUAUAAAGCAAAUAAUCCUUUUGAAGAUACACUGAGUUAACUGUAAACUUACAGCAUCAGAUAGAAUGCCUCAUGGCAUUCUUUCCAGCUCUCUGCACUCAAGUUCAAACCAUACUUAGGACAACUUUGUUUAUCUUUCUUUCAAGGUUGCUAAAUAAAGUAUCAAUCCACUGCAA